CAGAAAGACCCUAUGAAGCUUUACUGUAACUUGAAAUUGAUUUCGGACGUUAUUUGCGCAGCAUAGGUGGGAGACUAUGAAGUUUAUCUUGCGGGAUAGAUGGAGUCAUCAGUGAGAUACCACUCCUGUAGCGUUAGAAUUCUAACCUUAUACCGUUAGCCGGUUAAGAGACAGUUUCAGGCGGGCAGUUUGACUGGGGCGGUCGCCUCCCAAAAGGUAACGGAGGCGCACAAAGGUUUCCUCAGAUCGGUCAGACAUCGAUCGUAGAGUGUAAAGGCAUAAGGAAGCUUGACUGUGAGAUCUACAAAUCGAACAGAGACGAAAGUCGGUCUUAGUGAUCUGGCGAUAUUGAGUGGAAAAGUCGUCACUCAACGGAUAAAAGUUACUCUAGGGAUAACAGGCUGA
rnacentral:rRNA from 1 species